rnacentral:rRNA from 1 species
GAACGCUAGCUACAGGCUUAACACAUGCGAAGUCGAGGGGGAAACGAUAUUGGAAGCUUGCUUCUGAUAGGCGUCGACCGGCGCACGGGUGAGUAACGCGUAUCCAACCUGCCCAUCACUUGGGGAUAACCUUGCGAAGGUAAGACUAAUACCCAAUGACGUCUCUAGAAGACAUCUGAAGGAGAUUAAAGAUUUAUCGGUGAUGGAUGGGGAUGCGUCUGAUUAGCUUGUUGGCGGGGUAACGGCCCACCAAGGCGACGAUCAGUAGGGGUUCUGAGAGGAAGGCCCCCCACAUUGGAACUGAGACACGGUCCAAACUCCUACGGGAGGCAGCAGUGAGGAAUAUUGGUCAAUGGACGAGAGUCUGAACCAGCCAAGUAGCGUGCAGGAUGACGGCCCUAUGGGUUGUAAACUGCUUUUAUAAGGGAAUAAAGUGAGUCUCGUGAGACUUUUUGCAUGUACCUUAUGAAUAAGGACCGGCUAAUUCCGUG